CAAUCUUCUUGCCUUGUGCAGAACACCAUAUAUAACAAGAUUACUGCUUCCUCUCAGUAAUUCUCCAAUAAGCAAAUUUCAGAAACUCUUUGCUAAUGGCUUUUUCGUGUAGCAUAGUGUCCAAAUCCAUGGUAAUAUUUCCCAGCUUCAAGCCGUGUCUACUCAAGACAAUAAUAGCCAUAAGAUGCCUAAAUACUCAUACAACAAGGAGGCCGCCAAGGCCACCGGUAAAAACUAAACCACCACAAAACAACAAUUACAAAGACAAGAAAGAGACUCUGAUGACAGAGGAGAACAGUAACAGAAAGCUCCAAGACAAUAAUUCCAUGGUCAAAUCAAACUAGGAAUCUUGUUUCUUAAAGCUAAUAAGUCAUUCGUACUUACUCUAAACUUAUUCUGUAGUAGGUGCUUGUAUUGUCCUUCUGUUUCCUAUUUUCCUUUGGUUAUCCUGUUAGGGGUCGUUUAGGGAUUGUAAUAUAGGGUUUUUAAUGCAUGGAUCGUAAUAAUGCAAAAGUUGUACUAAUAUAAGAGAAAUUGUAAUAUACCGAUUAUAAUGCACGGAUUACUAAUAUAUAUGGAUUGUAACACUGUGACUGAUCUAAAAGUUCAAGUAUUUUGUAA